UACGUAGGGGGCAAGCGUUGUCCGGAAUCAUUGGGCGUAAAGAGCGCGUAGGCGGCCCUGUAAGUCCGCUGUGAAAGUCAAGGGCUCAACCCUUGGAUGCCGGUGGAUACUGCAGGGCUAGAGUCCGGAAGAGGCGAGUGGAAUCCCUGGUGUAGCGGUGAAAUGCGCAGAUAUCAGGAGGAACACCGAUGGCGAAGGCAGCUCGCUGGGACGGUACUGACGCUGAGGCGCGAAAGCGUGGGGAGCAAACAGG
rnacentral:rRNA from 1 species